ACUAGGGAUCGGGCGAUGUUACCUUUUUGACUCGCUCGGACCUUACGAGAAAUCAAAGUCUUGGGUCUGGGGGGAGUAUGGUCGCAAGGCUGAAACUUUAAAGAAUUGACGGAAGGGCACCACCAGGGGUGGAGCCUGGGGGUUAAUUUGACUCAACACGGGGAAAUUCACCAGGUCCAGACACAAUUAGGAUUGACGGAUUGAGAGCUCUUUCUUGAUUUCGGGG
rnacentral:rRNA from 1 species